rnacentral:tRNA from 1 species
GCGCCCAUAGCUCAGUUGGCAGAGCAGCUCGCUCUUAACGAGAAGGUCCCAGGUUCGAGGCCUGGUGGGCGCACAA